GGUCCCUGCCUCCCUCUUUAUCUCCCUUCCUCAUCCCACGGUUCAUCAUCAUCCUCAUUAUCUUCCUCUUUCUCUUCCUCUUCCUCUUCCUCCUCCUCCAUUUCCUCUUCCUCGUUUUGUUACAUGUGUUUCUUUCUUUAUUUCCUUCAUUACAUCUUUCUCUUCCUCUUCCUUCUUUUCCUCUUCCACGUUUUGUUAUAAUGUCUUCCUAUUUUUGUUUUAUUCAUUACAACAUCAACAACAAAAAUAUAAAAAAACCCAGCAACAUAUUACUUACUAUAAAUACUACGACUACGAGUACAUCAUCAUCAUCAUCAUCAUCAUCAUCGUCAUCACCAAUACUUACCUGUCUUUUUCUCCCUUCCACAGGUGAGUGUAAUUAGCAGUACCUGAGCAUCUUGUAGCCACGUGAGUGAGAAAGACAGACAGACACACAAACAGUAAGUGAGUGCAGCAGACAGCAACAGCAGCAUCAGCAUCAGCAGUAGAGUAAGCAGGACGUGGGCACAGCAGGACUUUAUUCAGCAGGUAGAAAGAGAGAUAGAGAGAGAGAGAAGUGGUGAUUACAGGUAGGCUAAUAACAGGUAAAGAUAAUGGAGGUAGAAGGGUAGAGGAUAGAUAGAUAAAAAUUGAACCCUUGUUUAGCUUGGAUGAGGAAAUGAAGGGAUGGAAAGAAAGAAGGAAAAACAUAAAAAGCAGGGAGAUAAAAAAGAGAAAUAGACAGAAAAGUAAAUAAUGAAUGCAGAAAGAUACUGUGUAAGCGAAUAGACGGAAGGGAAGAGGGAAAGGAAGACACAGAAAGAAGGAAGAAUAAAUAAAAUAAGAGGAACGAAGGUAGGAGAGAAGUGGUGAUAACAGGUAGACUAAUAACAGGUAGAGGGAAUGGAGAUAGAAGGGUAGAGGAUAGGUAGAUAAAAAUAGGACCUUUGUUUAGCUUGUUGAUGGAUGAGAAAAUGAAGGGAUGGAAUAAAAGAAGGAAAGGAAAAACACGAAAAACAGGGAGAUAAAAAAAGAGAAAUAGACAGAAAAGUAAAUAAUGAAUACAGAAAGAUACUGUGUUAGCGAAUAGACGGAAGGGAAGAGGGAAAGGAAGACACAGAAAGAAGGAAGAAUAAAUAAAAUAAGAGGAACGAAGGUAGGAGAGAAGUGGUGAUAACAGGUACAAGGAAUGGAGAUAGAAGGGUAGAAGAUAGGUAGAUAAAAAUAGAACCCUAGUUAAGCGAGUUAAUAUAUGAGGAAAAUGUGAGGAAAAAGAAGGAUAGCUAAAUUUGAAGAACAGGGAAAGUCAAAUAAAAGUAGAGAGAAAAGUAAAUGAUAGAUAAAGAAAAAAAAGUACAUUGUUAGUUAGCGUGUAGACGGAAGAGAAGAGGGAAAGAAAAACACAGAACGAAGGAAGAAUAAAUAAAAUAAGAGGAAGGAAGGUAGGAGAGAAGUGGUGAUUACAGGUAGACAAAUAACAGGUAGAGGUAAUGGAGAUAGAAGGGUAGACGAUAGGUAGAUAAAAAUGGGAACCUUGUUCAGUGAGUUAAUAUAUGAGGAAAAUGUGAGAAAAAUGAGGGAAUAGAAAGAAGGAUAGAAAAACUUGAAUAACAGAAAGUCAAAUAAAAGUAGAGAAAAGUAAAUGACAAAUAAAAAAAAGCACAUUGUUAGUUAGCGAGUAGACGGAAGAGAAGAGGGAAAGAAAGACAUAGAAAGAAGGAAGAAUAAAUAUAAUAAGAGGAAGGAAAGUAGAAGGAGGAAACUGGUGAUUACAGGUAGACAAAUGAUAGGUAGAGGUAAGGUCGAUAGAAGGGUAGAAGAUAGAUAGAUUAGAACGAUACGCUUGUUCAGUGAGUUGAUGGAGGAGGAAGAAAAAGGGAUAGGAAGAAAAAUAGACAGAGAAGUAAAUAAAUAAAAAAAACUAUACAUUUUUAUUUAGCGAGGAGAUUGAAGAGGUAAAAGAAUGCUCAGAAAGUAGAGAAAAAAAACAAACAAAUUACAGGUAGGGGAAUAGAAGCUAGAUAAAUGGAGAAUAGUAAAUAGGGAAUGAGUACUAUAUAAAAACGUUAGUGUGUUUUUGUGAGUAGGUGAAGGAGGAGCAAGAACAAAUAGAAGAAAGGGGAAAGAUGUGUAAUGUCAGGCAAUAAAAAGAGAGAGAAGGAAAAAUUAAACUGGAAUAGAAGAAGAAUAGGCAGUGUCGUUUUUUUUGGCGAAUAGCUGAAAAUGAAAUGGGAAUGAAUAGAAGGAAGAAGAAAAAUAUAAACGAAUAGUAAAUUAGUUGACUGAUGGAUAGAACGAGAUAGAGUAAUUUGGUGAGAAGGAAAAGCAAACAUAAAUAGAAGAAGAAUAGCUAAAGGAGGAUGAAAAUGAAUAGAAGGAGGAAGAAAAAUAUAAACGAAUAGUAAAUUAGUUGACUGAUAGAUAGAACGAGAUAGAGUAAUUUGGUGAGAAGGAAAAGCAAACAUAAAUAGAAGAAGAAUAGCUAAAGGAGGAUGAAAAUGAAUAGAAGGAAGAAUAAAAAGUAUAAACAGACAGUAAACUAGUUGAUUAAUAGAUAGAACGAGAUAGAAUAAUAUGAAUGAGAAGGAAAAAUCAAACAGAAAUAGAAGACGAAUAGGAAGUGUCGUUUGGCGAAUAGCUAAAGGAGGAUGAAAGUUAAUAGAAGGAAGAAAAAUAUAUAAACGGACAGUAAAUUAGUUGAUUGAUAGGUAGAACGAUAUGAAUAGAAUAAUAUGGAUGAGAAGGAAAAUCAAACAGGAAUAGAAGAAGAAUAUGAAAUGUCGUUUUGAGGAUAGCUGAAGGAGGAUGAAAAUGAAAAGAAGGAAGAAGAAAUAUAUAAACAGAUAGGAAAUUAUUAGACUGUUAGGGUGAACGAGAUAAGUAGAAUAAUAUGGAUGUUGAAAGUGUCAAUAUCAUGGAAAAAAAAGAGAAAUGCAAAGAAAGAAGAGAAAAAAAUCUAUUAUCAGGUUAUGAGACAGUAGAUUCAUAGGUAGAAAUAAAAAAAAAGAAAUAGAUAUGUUGAAAGAAAAUAUUACACACUACUCGUUUAGCGAAGAAAUAUAGGAGGGUAAGGAAUGCAUAGAAAAACAGAAGGGGAAAAAAUAAUACCAGGUAGAGGAUUUGUAGAUUUAUAGGUGAAACGUGAGGGAGGUAAAAAAAAAAAAAAAGACUAAUGACGGACAGGUAGAGAAGUUGAUAUUCGAGAGGUAGAACGAGAAAGAGAUAAAGAAAAGACAUAUAAUAGGGAGAUAGAACGAGAGAGGGAGAGAGAUAAAAAGGAGAAAUAAGAGAUAGGUAGAA